UGACGCGUAGCUCAAUUGGCAGAGCACUCAGCUUUUAACCGAGGGGUUGUGAGUUCGAUCCUCACCGCGUCAA
rnacentral:tRNA from 1 species